UACGGAGGGUGCAAGCGUUAUCCGGAUUCACUGGGUUUAAAGGGUGCGUAGGUGGGUUGGUAAGUCAGUGGUGAAAUCUCCAGGCUUAACUUGGAAACUGCCAUUGAUAUUAUCAAUCUUGAAUACCGUGGAGGUCAGCGGAAUAUGUCAUGUAGCGGUGAAAUGCUUAGAUAUGACAUAGAACACCAAUUGCGAAGGCAGCUGGCUACACGAAUAUUGACACUGAUGCACGAAAGCGUGGGGAUCAAACAGG
rnacentral:rRNA from 1 species